CAGCCGCCGCGGUAAUGCGAAGGGUGCAAGCGUUAAUCGGAAUUACUGGGCGUAAAGCGUGCGUAGGCGGUGAGUUAAGUCUGCUGUGAAAUCCCCGGGCUCAACCUGGGAAUGGCAGUGGAUACUGGCUCGCUAGAGUGUGUCAGAGGAUGGUGGAAUUCCCGGUGUAGCGGUGAAAUGCGUAGAGAUCGGGAGGAACAUCAGUGGCGAAGGCGGCCAUCUGGGACAACACCGACGCUGAGGCACGAAAGCGUGGGGAGCAAACAGGAUUAGAUACCCCGGUAGUCCCUGUCUCUUAUAC
rnacentral:rRNA from 1 species